CCAUGGAUAUUCUUGGAUGUUAUGCUGGUUCUGCGGCUUUAUCAUGAUGUGACUUUUGGCAAGCAACUUAACCUUUCUGUGCCAGUCUCAUUAAAAAAAAGCACAACUAAAUCACCCAUACAAUCCCUUUGAACUUGUAAGUGACUGUAGUAUCUUCGCAGGGACAUAAGUAUCUUAUUGAAAAGCCACAGUCUUCCAAGGAGCCAGGCUCGAGCCGCAGCCACACCAGCUACCAGCCUUGCAUCACUGCCUAUCUCCCGGCGUGGCCCUGAGACGCCAAUGAAAGAUAAGGUUCCUUCAACACACAACAAAGGGUUUAAUAUGAAUUAAACAUCAUUAACUUGUGUUUGGAAGGAUGUAAGACACCUUUUCCUCCUGAUCCAUGACGCCUGGAUUAAGCAAGUAUCCACAAUCCAAACCUUAAUUUACAACAGUGACCAACUUGGUGCACCCAUUAAACACGAGACUUCAACAGCC